rnacentral:misc_RNA from 1 species
CGGGUAGCAAAUUUGGAUUUCUCCCAUACAUUUUUUUCCUCAAGAGGGCAUGGAGGUUUCCACGAAACAGGUGGUACUAUGCGACAAAUUCCAUAUGUCUCUGCUUUGGAGCGUAUGCUAGCCAUAUACGUCAGGGUAUCUUCAAAUUCCUUUUCAGUUGGAUAGAACACUGGAGCGUCUCCAAGAUCGGGCCUAGAAGCUUCCUCUGGCCGCCAUCUCGCAGUUACCCUUUGGCAGUUGAGACACCCUUCACAUCCUCUGAUGACCCCUUUCGGAAGUGAAGACCUUACAGAGGGAUUCUGAUCGGAACCAGAUUCAUCUUCUGAGCUUUUCUCAUAUUUCCCAUAGUUUACCCCAGGUUUACGGGCGG